CUCCCGGAGGUAUCUGUGAUGUUCAGAACACAGUGGUUCCCGUGGGAGCCCCAUCGUCCUGUGGACAUGGCAGUGUCAAGGGAAGAGGGUCGGAGCAGGUGAAAGUGAAGGUCAUGGAGAUGUCAUGUGGAAACUAGUUGGACUGGCUUAUUGGAAGCGCAAGGGCUGGGCCUGUCUGGUUACGAAGCAAUGCCCUUUCCUCGACUCCACGCUGAGUUCUGGGCCCAAGGGCAGAGCUGGCUGUCAGGGCUGACCAAAGAAGGAGAAUUUUAAGAUCAUUUCUGCAUGCAGCAGGAGUGUUUAAGGUUGGCAGCAUCCAGCCAGCCAGUCCUGAGAUCAUCUGGUGAAGGGAAGCGAGGCAUGGAGGUUUCCCAGAGAAAGAACCCAGGAUGAAGGAAGGGGUUCAGUCUUCUUUUCUCUAUGUUCAAGCAAUGGCUGAGUACACUGGCUAACUCAACCUUCUCAUACCAGAUUUUCAUGAGAAAUAAACAUUAACGUGUUACUAACCUUAAAUGUUCGAGAUGUUAAGAAUAUUCCGAAUUGCCAUGCAGAUGCCCGAGUUUCCAAUACUAGAGACGACUUCCGUAAUGGGAGCACUUUUAGCCCGAUCAUACCAGUUUAUCAUUUGUAAGGCUCCUGAUGGGAGAUGUUAGCACCACUCCGAAAGCACAGUUUUGCACCCAGACAUGAUCUACUUUUUUUUUUUUUUUUUAAUAAAUGGAAUGUAAGACCAAAUAUUGGUU